rnacentral:misc_RNA from 1 species
UGAAUUUUGUGCAUAAAUUGCCGUUGCAAACUUGUUAUUUCGCACAGAACAUUUUAUGCUAGGUUCUUAUGUAACGUCUCUCAGAUUGUAAUUGUACUUUAAACAGUAAUCUCAAACACACUCCAGUAAUACUCACAAACAUAUAGGGUAAUUUCAGCACAAUAACAAGACAAAUAAUUGCGACUACAAUUGAAAUUCAAAUAUAGUUAAAUUGAGACAAAGAUAGUUCUAAAUUGUCCCAUAAUUAAAGCAUUACUUCUUGUGCACCUAGCAGAAAGCAACUAGAAAUUUUCCUUAUCCAAAAUCAGUAAGCUCCAAGACAAAAUAAUUUAGCCAAUUUUUACCCGACAGUUUGGGCCGCUGCUGCAAGCCUCUUCCUAGCCUCCUCAAUGAUCGACAACUUGAUACCCUUGCCCUUGGGGAG